AAUAAUAGUAACAGAGACCAGGAACCCUGUUCCUAAGCAACAUAGCCGUAAAGUAUGAUGUCAUGUGACAAUAGUAGUUCCAGCAGUUCCAACUGCAGUUCUUUCAUGAAGCCUGCGCAGUUGUUAGAGCAAUGUCACAUGACUGCCCUUUGCUGCCUUCUGCCACUUUUGUCACUGACUUUGCUUGUCGGAACCUGGCAGUGAAGGUUACAAAUGUUGAUCAUGUGACCAUGGAACACUACGACUAUAUAAUGACAAGUUUCCAAAGGUGCCUGUUAAUUCUGCCUCCAGUGGUUCAGUUGUAAGGAAGGCAAGUGUGAUGAUAGGAGAUUCUAUUCUCAAAGGAACAGAACCAGCCAUCUGCAGACAGGACAUACAAUCUAGAGAAUGGGAAGAAAUAGAUGAAAAUUACAAAAGCUACAGUAGUAUCUGAUGAAUGCAAAAACACAGAUAAACAUGCAGCCGUCAUGGUAACGACAGAUGUUACUCUUCAAAGAACUUUGAGGCAUUGUUUACCUUAAAGAAUCUUUAUUCAAAAUAACAUGGCAUUGGUAAGUACAUGGUCGAAGCGAAAAUCUGAAUUCUCCUCCCCUAAGCCCACAGUAUUGGAGCACAAUUCCAUCCUCCAAUUAACAGUCAUAAAUCACAUUCCCCAAUUAGUUUGAAAUGCAAACUUUCCCUCCAGUUUCAUAACCUGCCAUUUUUUUUCUUCUCUUAUUUCAAACAACCUUGAAGAAUACUCUACUGUGGU